ACUUUCAACCCGCAGCGCCAACUGCCGCAAGGACGCCAACGCUCCAACAACAACCAAAACCUACGCCCCAACCGCUACCAUGGCUGCCUCGAACAGCAACGCCCAUCUCGACGUCACAGAAGUAGACAUUCCAUGAUAAAGGUCCAAGGACACUUCCGUGAGGGCCGGUGCCUCUCGCUGGACGUUCACUGGAGGUUUGACCCUCAAGGGCAACUUGGAGAGUCCUUUCGUGGAGGCAGUCCUCAAUUCGUCCUAAUUAUUGGCGGAAACACUCGCGAAAUCUGCCUUUGAUUCGGGAAGCGUUUAAAAGAACAGACACGUAGCUUGUGAUAAAAAUGAUGAGAAUAAGCAGCCAACUACUUAUCUUUCCAGUUACGUCACUGUAAGCUGGUAAGUGAGAGAGAGAGAAAUAAAGAGUGAAUGAGAAAGGGUAAUUGAUUAAAAAAGAGAAGUGAUUAAUUGAGUAAAGGAGUAUAGGAAGUACUGACAAUGUAACUGAGUGGGAGCGAGAGAGAGAAAGAGGGAGAGAAGGAAAUCAUUAGUAAUAAUCACUAUCAUUAUAAUAGUUACAGACCUCAUGUGUAAAGAACUAAGCAUUGGAAGUAAUUAGAUUUACAUUUUUGUGUAAUGAGGAGAAAACUCUCCAUCUUUUAGCAAAAGUUAUUUUGGAAAAUAUUUUGUGUGAGAGAGAAAUGAACGCUCAAGACUAAAGCUAAAUAAACCAGUAAGAAAUGUAUUCGGGAGAAGACAGCAAAAUAUCCGGAUAAUAUUCUAUCCAUGAUAAUAUAUAUUUUAGCGAUAUCACUUCAUAAAUGCAGAACUUAGGCUCCUGUGCUUCAUUUGGCCUCUUUUCUGUGAAUCACUGGCGACGAUAGAAUGGUGAUAAUAGGGAUAGCGAGAGGCAAUGGAAGCGGAAGAAAUACGAUGAGUACUGAGCUCAUAUGUGUGGCUGGAAGAAGAGGGAGAUAAAGCGAAUCAGGGAGAUAGAAAGAGAGAAAGAGAAAAAAAUUGAUAGGGAGAGAGGGAAAGAGGAAGAUAGAGAGAGAGGGGAUGAGAGAGUGGUGGAAAAGGGUGAAGACGGAGAGAACGAGUAGCAGAAUGUGAGAGAGAGGUUUUAUCUUUUUAUCAGCCGCCCCGGGUUGACAACAGGUACAUCUUAUACACUCACACACACACACACACACGGACAUACGCAUAAAAACAUUAAGAGAAAAAAUUUAAGGUUUCAGAGUUAGUUGUUUACAUAUCAGUAGCCUGAUAUGAGAAAUUUUGGGAAGUCCCUCCUUCCCUCACAUAAUCACACAUAGCACAAACAAUGCAAAGUACCAUAUAUAUGUUAUAUAAUUAUGACCAAUUCUCAGCUGAAGGAUAAAUGUUAGAAUAUUGGUGCAAAAUGUGUGUGGCUCUUCAAAAUUUGAAAUAGCUGGCUAUUCUUGAUUAUCCAUUCACCCUGUUCAUGGAAACCUGUUAUAUAUGCACUGUAAUAUAUAGUGUAACGGAUAUGUGGUCUUUCCAUUUGCAUUUGCCCCUCCCGCAAGUAGUCUCAAAGUGUCACUCGCCUCAGCCGACUCGCCCUUCCUGGCCUCGUCGUAUUCUAGCUGUAUUCUGUUGGUAUUGUUUCUUGCCUGUUUCAGAGUGUGCUUACACUUGAUGUCCACCUUAUAUUUCCUAGUCGCCUCCAUCACAAGAGAGAUAAAUAGAUAGAGAUCGAUGGGUAGAUAGAGAGAGAGAGAGAGAAGGAGAGAUACACACAUGCACGUGUUAUGCAUUUGUGUGUGUCGUAAGAGCCUGAGCGAGGCUGACUGUCCUGUUUGCGUUAUCUGUGGAAUGAAGGUCACCGAUAAGAAUAGGCAGCGAGGCGGCGCGACCACAGCGAGCUCACUUUCAACCCAGAGCGCCAAGUGCCGCAAGGACAUCGCCAACGCUUCAACAACAACCGCAACCUACGCCCCAACCGCUACCAUGGCUUCCUCGAACAGCAACGCCCGUAUUGUCGCUCUGGUCAAAAGCCGGCGAACGCAGAAGGACUACGGGCCGCCCUCGCCGCCCCUUCCGC
rnacentral:lncRNA from 1 species